GACGAACGCUGGCGGCGUGCUUAAUACAUGCAAGUCGAGCGAGGUUACUGUUUUGGAUCCCUUCGGGGUGAAGAAGCUUUAACCUAGCGGCGGACGGGUGAGUAACGCGUGGGUAACCUACCCCAAAGUCCGGGAUAACAGCGGGAAACCGCUGCUAAUACCGGAUGUCUUUACCUUGGGGCAUCUUGAGGUAAAGAAAGGUAACGCUUUGGGAUGGGCCCGCGUCCCAUUAGCUAGUUGGUGAGGUAACGGCUCACCAAGGCGACGAUGGGUAGCCGGCCUGAGAGGGUGGACGGCCACACUGGGACUGAGACACGGCCCAGACUCCUACGGGAGGCAGCAGUAGGGAAUAUUGCGCAAUGGACGGAAGUCUGACGCAGCGACGCCGCGUGAGCGAUGAAGGUCUUCGGAUCGUAAAGCUCUGUCCUUGGGGAAGAAGGUCUUCGGACUUGACGGUACCCAAGAAGAAAGCCCGGCUAACUACGUG
rnacentral:rRNA from 1 species